rnacentral:lncRNA from 1 species
GAAGAUAGAAGUUACUGUAAGAAGUUCUUGGUUUUUGUGGUUGUUAACUUCCUGUGAAGUUAUAGAAGUUUUUGGUUUAUGUGUUUGAUAAUAUCAUGGGACGUUAAAGACGUUCCUAGUUUCUUUGUUUGAUAAACUCCUGAGAAGUUAAAAAAGUUUUUGGCUUCUGUGUUUGAUAACCUCUUGGGAAGUUAAAGAAGUUU